rnacentral:lncRNA from 1 species
UUUGAGAGGAAAAAAUAAUAUAGCUUCAAGAUACAAUGAUGCCCUAUUGCCCUGCCCCCAUUUAUUACACAAUCUUUCUGACACGACGAGGAAAAUUUUAAAGCCCCAAAAUCAUAACAUGAAUCCUCAUGACUCAAUGUCAGAUCUCGAGACAUUAGAAAACCCCAACCCAUGAUAAUCAUAUAAUAAUACAAAAUUCUGAAUAAUAUUUACAUAUAUAAUUAGCAUUAAACAUACAUAACUUAAUACAAUACAAAUAAUACAACUGCGAUCACCUCCAUACAAAAGAAACUAAGUACAUCUAUCGCACGAAUACUCAUACAAAUCCCCUCUGUAAUCUUUGUACACCCAUCUCUGCGGAAUCUCAUAUAUCCUCGAGCAGCUGUUUAUCUGAAAGGGGUUAAUGAUAGGGUGAGCAUUUCCACUUGCUCAGUAGUGACUCACAUUUCCAAUAUACUAACUAAUCAUGCAUGACGAUUAAUCAUACUAAACAUUUGAAAGAAUGCAAGUUUUAAUAAUUGAAAGUAACUUUCUACUGUAAAUAAUAAAUAAUAUACAAGCGUUCAUACAAUAAGUCGAGUACCUAUAUCCUAUCAGAGUGUUUAGGGUACGACUGGUACUCGGCCCCAGUCCCAAGCAAUAUCUUAGUUCAGUACUUACCGGUGUGAACCUGCACCGUUAGUUCCUGAUUAUCCGGUCGGGUGAUUACCGUUUUUGUACUCGAGCACAAUAACCCUCUUAUAGGGCUCAGGUGGGCUCUCUGACCACGACGCCCUGAGGGGGGAAUCACCUAUCACGGUGGUCAACCGUUUGACGACUGUAGACUGUUCAGGAUCCUAACACACGUCUAGGAGUGGACUACCUCUCACUCUCCGCGUCUAACCUCCUCGAGGUAGCAUGUAACCCCACAACACACUAACCAUCCACAGCAAAUACCACUAAAAGCAUGGCAAUCCAAGAAGGUAGAAGAGAAAUUCCUGGAAACAUCCUACAAUGUUCGCCUCUAGAAAGUGCCCAUUCACCGUCUAAAGGUCAAUACUACAUAUGUAAUCUUAAAAAGAACGGUCAUAUCUAGAAUAUGACAACAAUUUCUUCUUUGUAGGAAUUCACGGGUCCCUUGCCAGACCGCCUCGUGAAACAAUAUUUAUAUAUAUAGGGUGUCUUUUAAUAAUAAUUAAUUUAAUUUGGCAUGUGUGACGAGUCCCUGGAUUUAUCAUCCAUCAAACCAGUCCCCUAUUCACGGCUACCCUAACCGGGCCAAAGCCAAAGGAAUUAUAAUCCGAUCUGUAAUAAUAUGUUCAUGUAAGCACCCGAAUCAUAUUCCCAAUUCAGGAACCUCACACCAUACCAACAUACAACUGGGAUCCCACAUCGCACAUAUAAAAUCCAUCUCCCUUUUCCUAUCCUGGAAAAGAGGUGCAAUAAAACCUUCAAUAGUUUUUCCGUUUAUAAAACCAUUUCGAUAUACAUAUACUAUUUUAAUAAACCCAGUAUAAAACAUGAUAUCUGUAACUAAUUACUUUAAUAGAAGCUAUAAUCGAUAAACCACGAGUAAUCUAUAUAUACCAAACAAAACCAUACAUACAUUUUUUUUUCAUCAGUAAUAUAUUAGUUAAUUUGCAACAUUUAAAAUAUGACACAUGAAAAGACAAUAUAAAAGAAAUGUAAGUCCCUACCUCUUGCUCGCUUCUUUUAUCCCUUUUCAAUCCAAAAUAUCGCAUUAAAAACGGCAUCGAAAUCCUAUUAUCCUAUUAACACGCAUGUACAUAAACAAUUAUAUCGGUAUCUAAUCUCUAUAGGUUUAAUUUCCAAAAUCAUAUAUAUAUAUUCUAUAAGGACAAGGCUGGUAAAUAUGUGGGGUUAUCCUUAACUGGCUAAUCAAGAAAACCACCCCAAAUCUUAGUUCAUAUACCCAAUUGAAACUAAUCAAUAUGCUCCAUUACACUGGCUAAUUAAAGCGUAUAAGUGAAAUUUACCUUUGUACUUUCUUCAGAUUUUCCUUUGAACCCCACUUAGCCCAAAGCUUUAGUUAUCAGAUGUUUUCCCCCACAACAUCAUAACCCUUCCGAUUCAUAAAUCUCAUUUAUAUAACUUCAUUUUGACUUCAUUUUGAACUAGAUAGAAUGAUAGAUAACAUGAUGUUGCACCUAAUGGAUUCAUAAUAAUCCCAACAUCAUUUGGUGGGCCAUUGAUUCAUUUGCUAAACCCAUUAAGAGCACUCACAUCAACCAUAACACCUCUAAGAGUUAAGCUUGCUGCUACUGCAUACGGAGAAGAUGAGAGAAGAUGAUAAUAUUUGUUUCCUCAUAUUGAUCUUUAUCUCUAUUAAU